rnacentral:rRNA from 1 species
UACGUAGGGGGCGAGCGUUGUCCGGAAUUACUGGGCGUAAAGAGCUCGUAGGUGGUUUGUCGCGUUGUUCGUGAAAACUCACAGCUUAACUGUGGGCGUGCGGGCGAUACGGGCAGACUGGAGUACUGCAGGGGAGACUGGAAUUCCUGGUGUAGCGGUGGAAUGCGCAGAUAUCAGGAGGAACACCGGUGGCGAAGGCGGCGACCUGGGUAGAUACUGACGCUGAGGUGCGAAAGCGUGGGGAGCAAACAGG